ensembl:snoRNA
GACCAGUGAUGAAAAAUAGCCAAAUCUGAGUGUCAGAGGGCCUUGCCGUCUUCCUGACACGUGAUCUCAGGCUUUGAGA